rnacentral:rRNA from 1 species
UGCCAGCCGCCGCGGUAAUACGGAGGAUCCGAGCGUUAUCCGGAUUUAUUGGGUUUAAAGGGUGCGCAGGCGGACUAUUAAGUCAGUGGUGAAAUCCAACAGCUCAACUGUUGAACUGCCAUUGAAACUGAUAGUCUUGAGUAUGGUUGUGGUAGGCGGAAUAUAGCAUGUAGCGGUGAAAUGCUUAGAUAUGCUAUAGAACACCGAUCGCGAAGGCAGCUUACCGAGCCAUUACUGACGCUCAUGCACGAAAGCGUGGGGAGCAAACAGGAUUAGAUA